UUGAUCCUGGCUCAGAAUCAACGCUGGCGGCGUGCCUAACACAUGCAAGUCGAACGGGAAAGUGGAGCAAUCCAUGAGUAUAGUGGCGACCGGGUGAGUUACACGUGACUAACCUACCCUUGAGUGGGGGAUAACCUCGGGAAACCGGGUCUAAUACCGCAUAACAUCUUCGGGAUGAGAAGCUGAAGAUCAAAGGAGUUAUCCGCUUUUGGAGGGGGUCGCGGCUGAUUAGCUAGUUGGCGGGGUAACUGCCCACCAAGGCUUUGAUCGGUAUCCGGCCUGAGAGGGCGCACGGACACUCUGGAACUGAAACACGGUCCAGACUCCUACGGGAGGCAGCAGUGGGGAAUUUUGCGCAAUGGGGGAAACCCUGACGCAGCAACGCCGCGUGGAGGAUGAUGUCCCUUGGGACGUAAACUCCUUUCGACCGGGAAGAUGGUGACGGUACCUGUGGAAGAAGCCCCGGCUAACUUCGUGCCAGCAGCCGCGGUAAUAAGGU
rnacentral:rRNA from 1 species